CACGUCAACACGCAGCCUCUAAAACACGCCGUGAAUCACGUACCUUCUUCCAGAAGAAAAGAGUCGACUUCUGUCCGACAUCUUCAUCUCACAAACCAAACGCAUUCCGUGUUAACGCGGUGAAUUUGGAGAGGUUUAGAUCCUCAAUACGCUUCAACAAUGUGUGCUGGAGAACCAAGAACAACAUCGUGUCCCGGUUCACCUACCGGACGACAGAGCCGGAGGAGGAAAAGAAAGCUCCAGAGACACACUGAGCCAGACCGCAGACACGACCUGACCCAGAAGAGAAAGCGCACGGGUUCGGUAGCCUCGAUCGGUGUGGCAUGAGAUGGAGCAGGUGGAGGCAGAAGUAUAGAUAGAGGUGGUGUUGGAGGACAGAGUGGUCUGAAGAGCCUCUUCACUAACUAAUGUUUCACAGUUGUGGCACUUUUGACAGAACAGAAUAAAUCUGUAGCACAUACACACACGCACGCACACUCUCCAUCCUAAAGGUUAGCAAGAUGUCUUAUAUUAACAUUCCUUCUUCAGAAUGCUGAUGCAAACAUGGCAAAAAAGUGACAGAGAAGGGGAAAAAAGAUUUUAUUUACAAAUGAAAGUGAUGCUUUACAUUUUAUACACGUGUUUCUAUCAUUAAAGGCACUUGGGAAAAGAUUAAAUGUUUAAAUGCUAUCACAGUUAAGAAAGUCAUUCCAGAACAGUAUCAUUAAUCGUGUGUUUUUGUGUGUUUAGAGGAAAUUAUGAAACAUGCA